rfam:Corynebacterium sp. KPL1855 genomic scaffold addTD-supercont1.1, whole genome shotgun sequence.
GCGGCUUUAGCUCAGCUGGAAGAGCAAUUGGUUUACACCCAAUAGGUCGGGGGUUCGAUCCCCUCAGGCCGCA